GAGACCCAAGUCUUUCUCUGAAUGGAAAACCUAAAGAGGUCUUCAUCUUCACCACCCACGCACUCUGCCGCUGCCUCCACCGAACGGCCACUGCGACGCCACCAAAAGGGUCGCCAGCGACCACCGUCGACCACAGCUCCCCACCGGUUGCCGCCGUCAAGCCUUUCCCUCUCCUUCUCUUUUCUCGUGCUAACCUAGGGUUGGGGGUUCCUUCUCAAAUGCACNGCCGGCCACCACUGCUUCGAAUCCAGCCACCGUGCCACCCUCUUCUCUCUUCGACGCCGACGAGCUCUGUCGCUGCUGGUGAGCUCUUCUUCCUCUCUCCUUCGCUCGCGAGCAGGGAAACCCCUUUCCUCUUCUUCAAGUCCAAGAGCGCCGCCACCAACAAGACAAAACGCCAUUGCCUCAGGUAGACCGGUUGUCGUUCAUGCGCGCAACAGAGGCGUCGUGGUGACCGAAAAUGGUUUCGAUUUCCAGAGCAGUUAAAACAGAUGCAGAGAUUUUGGGUGAAAAAUGAUGUUGGAUUCAGAUGAAGAGCGUAGGCAUCUUGCUAGGCAGAGAGUACGAAACGACAAAAGAAUGAGUCUUGGUUCUUAGUGAUUGUUUUUGUUUCUGUGACUUUGUGCAGCGCAGGUUGAGGAUGAUGGUGUGCUGCGUGAGUUGGGGUGGAGGUUCUAAUGGGUGCGUUGAUGAUCUAUUGAUCGAAACUGUUAAAGACGAGGGUUCGAAUGGUCUGAAGUUGAUGAGGGUGAUGAAACUGUUAUGUCUUUGUUCUUGNAGGAAAGUAACUUUGGUUAUUGGUUUUUCCAGAAUGAAAGGCUAUGAGCAGUAUGGUNAGAUAUGGUCUUUCUUGUUUCUGCAGGUGAACGGGGGUUAAGGAAAAAAUAAUGGCUUGUGAAUGAUAUUUGCGGUCUUGCUUAAGAAAUGGAAACAGGUGUAUCUAAUCUCGUUUGGCUGUUGGUUGGGNGGAUGAACUUGCUUGGGACAAGAGAAAUUAGAGCCGUAGGAGUGAAAGCGGGAAGAUGACGAUANCGUAUACAAAAUGUCCAACAACAAUCAUGCGCAAACAUGGCAGCAACACACCAGAGAUAUAAUAAGCAAAUAACUCAAUAAAACAUAUUGGGCAGGGCANUGCUUACCUCUUGAAGUUCGGAUGCUAUCGUUAGCCUANCACCUCUGGCAAUGCCCUCCCUUCCUUUAGNUGGCUUUGUUUUCUGUCCCAAGCAAUGAAUGGCGAUUUUUUUAUUUUCCAGUA